rnacentral:rRNA from 1 species
GUCCGAUUAGCUAGUUGGCGGGAUAAGAGCCCACCAAGGCGGUGAUCGGUAGCUGGUCUGAGAGGAUGAUCAGCCACACUGGGACUGAGACACGGCCCAGACUCCUACGGGAGGCAGCAGUAGGGAAUAUUGGACAAUGGGCGCAAGCCUGAUCCAGCCAUGCCGCGUGAGUGAUGAAGGCCUUAGGGUUGUAAAGCUCUUUCGCACGCGAGGAUGAUGACGGUAGCGUGAGAAGAAGCCCCGGCUAACUUCGUGCCAGCAGCCGCGGUAAUACGAAGGGGGCUAGCGUUGUUCGGAAUUACUGGGCGUAAAGGGCGCGUAGGCGGUCGAUCGCGUUGGGUGUGAAAGCCCCGGGCUCAACCCGGGAUGUGCGCCCGAAACGGGUCGGCUGGAGAUCGGAAGAGGAGAGUGGAAUUCCCAGUGUAGAGGUGAAAUUCGUAGAUAUUGGGAAGAACACCGGUGGCGAAGGCGGCUCUCUGGUCCGAUUCUGACGCUGAGGCGCGAAAGCGUGGGGAGCA